rnacentral:rRNA from 1 species
AUUGAACGCUGGCGGCAGGCCUAACACAUGCAAGUCGAGCGAGCGGCGGACGGGGGAGUAAUGUAUGGGGACUGCCCGAUAGAGGGGGAUAACUACUGGAAACGGUAGCUAAUACCGCAUACUAUCGGAUAACCCAUAUGGGAGUAGCUAGUAGGUGAGGUAAUGGCUCACCUAGGAGACGAUCCCUAGCUGGUCUGAGAGGAUGAUCAGCCACACUGGGACUUAGACACGGCCCAGCCUCCUACGGAGUCAGCAGUGGGGAAUAUUGCACAAUGGGCGCAAGCCUGAUGCAGCCAUGCCGCGUGUAUGAAGAAGGCCCUAGGGUUGUAAAGUCCUUUCAGUCGGGAGGCGUUACCGACAGAAGAAGCACCGGCUAACUCCGUGCCAGCCGCCGCGGUAAUUC